AUGGGCGCCGGCAUUAUUCUUCUCGCCACUCCGAGUCGUCGUCGUUGGGGCUGCUCUAACCGUAUUGGGCACCUCCGCGCUGGCAUCAUUCUCCUCGCCACCAUUGUUGCGACAGUGUCAUCAGUGCAUGUGUUGCAGGCUUUUCAGGCCGCUGGCGUGGACGGUUGGCCGCUGGAGGUUAUGAUCGGGGGUGACAACGAGCAAAAGGAGAUUGGGAAAGAGAGGGCGGAAGAGAAGACAACGAGAUCAUGA
rnacentral:rRNA from 1 species